GCUCCCGGCAGCGGCUGGUGGGGGAGAGGCAGAAAAUGCCUUGCUCCUAUUUUUAGCUCUUUCACAGUGUCAUUAGAAUAAUCUGGGAUUGGAGAAUGUUGCCGUGCAAAAUUGCCUGGGAAGCCCUUGCAAACACCCCUCUGGAGCCUGGUGUGUCGGGAAUAAAACACAUCAGGAAGAGCUGAGCUAAAGGGAGGAGCUCAGCAAGGCCUGGUCAGGGAAUGUCCUGCUGAACCAGGAGCAAACUGACUGGAUCAUGGGAAAAGAGUUCUGUGGCCUUGGGGGUCGUGGCCAGGUUGGAGAGCAUCCUUCCCAUCCCCACCAUUCCC